AUGGCAGAGGCAUCGAAUAAGAGCAAGAAGAAAGCAGUGGUGGAGGAGAAGAAAGAACCGACGAACAAGGUUAACAAACUGAAUGAUAUUGCAGGCACCCAGGAUCUCAUCAAGGAAAGGACCAAGAAGAAAACCACAAAGACAAAGGCAUCACAUACCCAAAGUUCGAAGGCCGCACAAGACUCUGUGACAGAGGACAAUGGAGAUCUGACUAUCCAAGAGCUGGAGGACAAGAUGAACGCACUCGAUGUGAACAUUAAACACUCCAAUGAUAGCAUCGGGAGAAUGACCAAGGAGAAACUUAAGUUUGGAGGGGAUAUCACAACGAAGCAGAAUAAGAUAACAGAGAUGGGAACAGAGAUUGAGAAGCUGGACUCGGAGAAAGGAGGGCUAGUGGAGAAGAGAGGAAAUCUGGACUCGCGGAAAGAAGAAGUGGUGAAGGCGGAAAGAGAGCUGGCAGAGGAUAUUAAAAAGUUGGACUCGAAGAAGAUAAAACUGGCGGGGGAGAAAAGAAAUCUGAGAGAGGAUAUGAAAGAGCUGAAGAAGAAGGAUGAAAAAAAGGGAACAGAUAUUGCAGAUCUGGAAAAGGCAAAAAAUGCGCUGGUGGAGAAGAAAGGAAAGUUGGCGACGGAGCUCGAUGAGAAAAAAAAGAUGAGGAUUGAUUAUCUGGAGAAGAGGAACGAGGUGCUGGUGGAGGGCAAAAGGAAGCUGGCCAAGCACAACGAGGAACUGAAGAAGGACAACAAGGAAUUGAAGAAGGAGAACGAGGAACUGGAAAAGACGAGAGUGAAGAAAGAGAAACUGGAAAGCCUGUACGAAGAGCUGCAGGAGAAGUACGAUGGGAGAUGCUGCAGUUGCUGCACAAUUUGUUAA
rnacentral:rRNA from 1 species